rnacentral:pre_miRNA from 1 species
CGCGAACAUGUAUAGUUCGCGAACAUAAAUAGUUCGCGAACAUAUACAGUUCGCGAACUGUAUAUGUUCGCGAACUGUACAUGUUCGC